UCCGUAGGUAAGUACAAUCGGAUUAUCCUCUUCGAUUAUGAAAUCUUCCGAUAGCUAAUUCUUCUUUAGGUGAACCUGCGGAGGGAUCAUUAUCGAGUUAGGGGUAGCUCCGGCUGCCUUGACUUCCCAACCCUAUGAUUUGAUGUACUUUACUAUGUCUUCCGGCCUCUGCUCCGGUAUGCCGGAAGAUUUUACUGCCAACUCGCUAAUCAUGACGUCAUCUUCAAUCUUGAAUUGAAUAAAAACUUUCAACAACGGAUCUCUUGGUUCUAGCAUCGAUGAAGAACGCAGCGAAAUGCGAUAAGUAUUAUGAAUUGCAGAAUUCAGUGAAUCAUCGAAUUUUUGAACGCACAUUGCGCCUCUUGGCAUUCCAUGAGGCAUGCCUGUUCGAGCGUUAUUACAAAACCCUCAAGCCUUGCUUGGUGAUGAAUUCCAUCAUUGAUGGAUUUUUAAAAAUUUGCCGAUGUUGUAGAGUUUAAUUCGACGCAACCAGAACUUUUCUGCGUCAGAAUGAGCUUUACAUCACAUCAGUAAAUCCUUUUCAAUAAUUUAACCUCGGAUCAGGUAGGAAUACCCGCUGAACUUAAGCAUAUCAAUAAGNCGGAGGA
rnacentral:rRNA from 1 species